UGAGGAAUAUUGGUCAAUGGGCGAGAGCCUGAACCAGCCAUGCCGCGUGCAGGAUGACGGCUCUAUGAGUUGUAAACUGCUUUUGUAAGAGGGUAAAAGAGGGCACGUGUGCUCUAUUGAAAGUAUCUUACGAAUAAGGAUCGGCUAACUCCGUGCCAGCAGCCGCGGUAAUACGGAGGAUUCGAGCGUUAUCCGGAUUUAUUGGGUUUAAAGGGUGCGUAGGUUGUAAAUUAAGUUAGCGGUUAAAUGUUGUGGCUUAACCACAAUUUGUCGCUAAUACUGGUUUACUAGAGAUUGGAUGCAGCAGGCGGAAUGUGUAGUGUAGCGGUGAAAUGCAUAGAUAUUACACAGAACACCAAUUGCGAAGGCAGCUUGCUAAUCCAUAUCUGACACUGAUGCACGAGAGCGUGGGUAGCGAACG
rnacentral:rRNA from 1 species